rnacentral:misc_RNA from 1 species
AUGUGUUUGAUGUCUUUCUAGCGAACUCCUCCGCGCACUUUCUGCCUCUAGAAUCUGACGCUGAACCAACAGGGAAAAUUUUAGGCUUUUAUUUUUAUUUUAUUUUUGGUGUUGGCUGUUCACCGGCGAUGGGGCUUCUACUUGCAGAUAAUGCACAACAAUAUCGAAGCGUUGAAACUAUAUUUUUAGAUUUUCACUCUCUUUUCCGUUUCUCCGGUGUCUGAAUUGUUGGCUCGCACUGGUCGCCACCUGUAGCGCUAUGACGCCAGCUGCCGCCUCGUCGCCGGACAGAAUUUUGAGGAAUUGGGUCAAAAUGAAUGAGAUUGGUGAUCCUCUUCUGACAACUUUUAGCUUCGUUUGUUCGUGGAAAUUGUUCAAUUGUGGAAUAAUUGGUUGUUUUAUGAAAUUACAGAGUAAACAAACUGUCAGCUUCUGAAUGUGCUAUUACAUAAAAUGAAUAUUUCACAAAUAUGUGCGUUAUAAAUUUCAUGGAUAAGGGAGGAAUAGCAAUUCAAUGAUCUUUCCAACUCUGUUCCAUUCAGCCUUAGUUUCUGAUCCAAUUUUCAAGGCUGAGCAAGCUCUUUUUUCACUCCUGCAGGAUCAUUUUACCUUCCAUUCUGUCCUUGUUGAUUCUGUGAAUUUUGGCCUUGCAGUAAUCAUUGUACCUUUCCAUCUCACAUUCAUUAGACUUGUAAUAAUUGUGCAUUUUCUGUGGCACAAUUUGUUCUAGCAUUCUGUAGAGAUGCUGCAUUAACAAAUUAUUAGGAGGUCAUGGUUGCAAAGCGUAAAAUAUUGGACUUUGAUUAAAUUCUUUUCUAACACCACCCCCCCGGCCCCCUGCAGCCGCCCGGCCCGGCCCCUCUCUCUCUCUAUCAGAUUUCACUAAUAUCUGAAUUAAGUGAAUUGUUAGGUAUAUUGCUUCAAAAGGCACAUGCUAAAUGCUAAUGGAUUUUUACUAUGGCCAGGCCCUAAGUGUGCCAAUUUCAAUGCAAGUAAUUUAGAUGUGGAAGUUAUAUUGUAGAAUCUUACUUGGAUCACCACCUUGUUUUCACUAAGCUUGGCACAGAAUUUGCAUAUUGAUUGACUAAAUAUGAAAAGGAAUUUUAGAUUAUCGUGAAUAUUGUACAUUCUUAUUGCUAUUAAUAGAUUUUCAAGUGUAAAUGGCCUUAAAUGACAAAUAUUUUAUAAACAUUUUCUUUGUGAAAGUUGGUUGCAUAGGUUUCUUUUGUUUUUGUUGUUGUUUGUUUGUUUUUCUUAUUAACCUGUUCUAGUGAUAUUCAUUGGCAGCUGUAUUCCUUUUAAGUAUAGUGGUUUUGCUGAAAAUGAUGAUGGCAUAUCUGAGAAGGUUGUUGAGGUACUAAUGAUCAACUCAAAUAGUGGAUCUGGUCUUCUGUUCCCAAAGGGUGGCUGGGAAAAUGAUGAAACUGUUGAGGAGGCAGCAGUGCGUGAAGCCCUGGAAGAAGCUGGUGUUCGAGGUGAUUUAGUGAUAAAUGAAGUGAAAGCUUAUAGUACCAGUGUUGUAUAAUUAUUCCAAAAAUUGUGGUGACAUUCUGAAGGAUACGACCAAUCGUGGUUUUCAACUCGUAGAAUAGAUUACCUCCUGAAAACUUGAAGAGUAAGCAUUUUCUGGAUUAUUACAAAUUCAAAAGCAAAACCCUUGAAGAUGAGUUUUGUCCAAAAUGUUUGUGUAAAGCUGCCAUGUUUGUGUUACUUGUGACGGAAGAGCUAAAAUCUUGGCCAGAACAGAACACACGCCAGAGAAGUUGGCUAACCAUUCCUGAAGCUAGAGAGUGCUGCCGGUAUGAAUGGAUGAAAGACGCCUUGGAGGAAGGUUUCACAAAGUGGCACAGCAGCCAAAUGAUAAGCAGCCCAAGAGAAGAGAACCAUGUAAAUUCAACUCCAUGAUCAGAGCAGGAUUGAUUAGUUUGCAGAUGCUUGGGAGGCACCAUUUUGAAGCUAAUUCUGGUACUAUUUGCCACCUCUGUGCUCUUUUUCCAAGGUUGGAUAUUAGCAGUAAAGAAAACUCGAGUACAGGACAGAUAUGUUUGUUCUAGGUGUGUACACUGUGGUGUUUGCUUGAAAACUCUGGAUUAUCUUUUGCUUUACCUUGUCUCUGUCUCAUCGUUUGAUCACUUAUUUUAUUAGCUUCAUAUUAGGGACAACAGAAAACUUUGCUUAAUUCCUUUGAGAAGGCAAAAGAGUUUGGUUAAUCAAUUCACAAAGUCAGAAAUAUAGAAUAACUUGUAGCUGCACAUAUCUUAGCGUCAGAAUUCAUUAUUGUUAAAGAAAAAUCAUUCAUCGCUCUGUAAAUCAAGUAUUUUCGUGCUACAUUUUGUACUCGACUUGAAUUUGAG